rnacentral:rRNA from 1 species
GACGUAGGGCGCGAGCGUUGUCCGGAUUUAUUGGGCGUAAAGAGCUCGUAGGCGGUUUGUCGCGUCUGCUGUGAAAAACUCGGGGGCUUAACUCCGGGCCUGCAGUGGGUACGGGCAGGACUAGAGUGCGGGUAGGGGGAGACUGGAAUUCCUGGUGUAGCGGGUGAAAUGCGCAGAUAAUCAGGAGGAACACCGGUGGCGGAAGGCGGGGACUCGUGGGCCCGAUACUGACGCUGGAGGAGCGAAAGCGUGGGGAGCAAACA